rnacentral:rRNA from 1 species
GAUGAACGCUAGCUACAGGCUUAACACAUGCAAGUCGCGGGGCAGCAUGGGGGUUGCUUGCAAUCCCCGAUGGCGACCGGCGCACGGGUGAGUAACGCGUAUCCAACCUGCCCUUCACCACGGGAUAACCCGGCGAAAGUCGGACUAAUACCGUAUGUUGUCCAUUGACGGCAUCCGAUUUGGACGAAAGGUUUGGCGGUGAAGGAUGGGGAUGCGUCCGAUUAGCUGGACGGCGGGGCGACGGCCCACCGUGGCGACGAUCGGUAGGGGUUCUGAGAGGAAGGUCCCCCACACUGGAACUGAGACACGGUCCAGACUCCUACGGGAGGCAGCAGUGAGGAAUAUGGGUCAAUGGGCGUAAGCCUGAACCAGCCAAGUAGCGUGCAGGAUGACGGCCCUAUGGGUUGUAAACUGCUUUUAUGCGGGGAUAAAGUGGCCCACGUGUGGGUUUUUGCAGGUACCGCAUGAAUAAGGACCGGCUAAUUCCGUG